CAAUAACAAAAAAAUCAAAGGCUAGCAUAUAGUGAGAGUAGUUCAAAUAUACCCAGUGAAGCAAACAUUUUAACUGAGGUAGUAAAGUAUUCUGAUUAUUUGGGAACUAGCAAGUGAUUUUUAAAAACAAAAAUAUACUACCUAACUUCUGUAUGUUGAUAUAUCAUAUCCUCUUUGAAAGAAUUUUCACUUAUGUUACCUCUUGGAGUUUAGUUUGUGAGAUAGGAUUCCUGUAGGAACAUGAUGUGCGCAGACUCAGGUGUGGAAGACUGCAUGGUGGAGUUCCAAAGGAUCUAGCUGCAAGGAGAAGGCCUGGAGCUCACCACAGUGUCCUGUGAGAAUCUGCAUCAGGAGGCUGGAGGGCCUGCACUGCAAGACUGAAGUAUCUAUGCUGGAAGCCAGGAGAUGGACAUCCCAGGUGAAGGCGAACCCUGGAGCUCCUCUGAAGAAACAAAAGAGUCAUUUGAGUGAUGCAGAAGACAGUAAGACAAAGCAUCAAAUUUCUGUGAUUAGCAACUAUUUUGCAUUAGUUAAGAAAUAUUUUUCU
rnacentral:lncRNA from 1 species